AACAUCGCGCACCUGCGGGAACCUGCGGAAGGAUCAUUACAGAGUUGCAAAACUCCCACAAACCAUCGCGAAUCUUACCCGUACGGUUGCCUCGGCGCUGGCGGUCCGGAAGGCCCUCGGGCCCCCGGACCCUCGGGUCCCCCGCUCGCGGGGGGCUGCCCGCCGGAGUGCCGAAACCAAACUCUUGAUAUUUUAUGUCUCUCUGAGUAAACUUUUAAAUAAGUCAAAACUUUCAGCAAC
rnacentral:misc_RNA from 1 species